rnacentral:rRNA from 1 species
AAGCAUAUCAAUAAGCGGAGGAAAAGAAACUAACAAGGAUUCCCCUAGUAACUGCGAGUGAAGCGGGAACAGCUCAAAUUUGAAAUCUCCGCGGUCCCCGCGGCGAAUUGUAGUUUCAAGAGGCGUUUUCGGUGGCGGCCUUGGCUCAAGUCCCUUGGAACAGGGUGUCAUAGAGGGUGAGAACCCCGUGAAGCCUUGGCUUGCCGCUAUGUGAUACGCUUUCAAAGAGUCGGGUUGUUUGGGAUUGCAGCCCUAAUCGGGAGGUAAAUUUCUUCUAAAGCUAAAUACUGGCGAGAGACCGAUAGCGAACAAGUACCGUGAGGGAAAGAUGAAAAGAACUUUGAAAAGAGAGUUAAACAGUACGUGAAAUUGUCAAAAGGGAAAGGCUUGAAACCAGUCAUGCUGUCUGGAAUUCAGCAGGCCACACCGGCCUGUCCACUUUCCAGAUGGCAGGUCAACGUCAGUUUUCUUCGUGUCGAAAGGCCUUGGGAAGGUAGCGAGCCUUCGGGCGCGUGUUAUAGCCCCUGGCUCUGGCAUGUGGGGAGACUGAGGACCGCAGGGCGCACUGGGUUAACCGGUCAGGCGAAUACCUUUUGGCGGACUGCACGCAGGCCGUCAGAAGGCAUAAACCUUUGCUGGCUACACCUCUCCGUCCCUUAGGACGUUGAC